UGGGGAAUUUUGGACAAUGGGCGAAAGCCUGAUCCAGCCAUGCCGCGUGAGUGAAGAAGGCCUUCGGGUUGUAAAGCUCUUUUAGUCGGAAAGAAAGUGUUGCAGUGAAUAAUUGAGAUUUAUGACGGUACCGACAGAAAAAGCACCGGCUAACUACGUGCCAGCAGCCGCGGUAAUACGUAAGGUGCGAGCGUUAAUCGGAAUUACUGGGCGUAAAGGGUGCGCAGGCGGUCUUGCAAGUCAGAUGUGAAAGCCCCGGGCUUAACCUGGGAAUUGCGUUUGAAACUACAAGGCUAGAGUGCAGCAGAGGGGAGUGGAAUUCCAUGUGUAGCAGUGAAAUGCGUAGAGAUGUGGAAGAACACCGAUGGCGAAGGCAGCUCCCUGGGUUGACACUGACGCUCAUGCACGAAAGCGUGGGGAGCAAACA
rnacentral:rRNA from 1 species